AAAAAAGGAAAAUAUAUUACAUCUCCAAAGUUUAAAGUACAUAGUUCUGUUGCAUGCUAAAAACCUCUUCUCCUCUGCAUCUACUGGAUUGGAGGAGAUAACAAUAAAACCAACAACCUAACAUUGACUCUGCUAAAGCUAACACUGCUAACACAAACAAAAGAUUCGAUAUAACUAAACACAAAUGCACCGCCAAUCAAGCCGGCCCCUUGCCCUUGGUGUUCCACUCAGUGUUUGAAUUUCCCGUUCGGAUCGUCACAUUCACAAAAAUGUGGAGUUCUUGUUCAUCGUUUAGCCGAACUUGCGACUGAAACAUGCGGGACAUAUCAUCAACUGAAUCUAUCGGAUCCGGUUUCGGAAACAUAACACCAACGUCCUUGGCUUUGCCGCUUGAUUCCCCUUCUUUGCACCACUCCCAGAAACCACAUUUAAGACUGCAACAUUUGAAGAAUUUGCCUUUGUUGGCUGUAGCCCGUUCUACCUCAAACCACUUCUGAAAACCUUGGUUACACGUUGGACAUCGGACUUUUAUCGGGCAUUAGACAAAAAAGUGGGCUUUACUCCUACAGCUGUGACAUACUCCGGAGUUCUUUCUUGGCAUUCUACAAUGGGAAUCAAGCACCAAAAAGAUAAAGUUAUACGAUACAUAAAGUUUUUCUUUACAUUAAUCAACUCUCAGCAUUACAUGUUCGAGCAUUUAUACACUUUUGAACAUGAAUGAAGUCGCAGCUAUGCCGCAUUUCGAGCCCAGAAACCAGUUUGGACAAAACUACAAACUUUAUGCACUUUGGAACAUGAAUGAAGUCUCAGCUAUAGAUAUUUUGGGAUACAAUAAUAAUAUCAACAAUCCACGACAUUCACUUAUCACACUAACAACAAAAUUUCUACAAUAGCAGGAACAAUUCUUCAAGAACCACUUGUAUAAAAAAAACAUAGUUUCGAAAGGAAGCCUGAACGCCAAACUCAUCGAAAACAGGAAAAUUUCCCAAAUGUUUAACUGACCCAGAUAAUCUUCAACAAGAACAAUAGCAAAAUUCGUGUUGAAUGCUAGUGUGUAGUACAUCAAACGGCACCAUAAAGUUGUUCAAAAAACGUACCUUCCUGUAAAGCCCCUUUCCUUAAUAUUUUCGUC
rnacentral:lncRNA from 1 species